AGUGUGAGACUCCUCAGCUGUCCCUAGUGGAAACUGCAGCCUAAAUAAAUUUCUUCUCUUCAUUGGGUAAUUGUCCACAUGGAGUCCAUUUUUAUUGUGCGCGUGCUCAUGGCUAGUUUCAGGCACAAGGAGCACGUACAGUCCAAGAAUGGACCACAUAUGGAUAACACAUUUCGAAGAUGUAAAGAUUCUGAGAGAGUCCUGUUUCAUGUUGUGAAAGAUUGCAUUCUCUUGACAGAAGAUGAGAAGUGGCUAUAUAUUGCUAAUAUUCACUGAGCAAAAGGUAUCACCCUCUUCAGGGAAGCUAUGUCACGCUGGAUGCCAAGAUCAAGCAAAAUACCUGAAGUGUAAAUCUGAGUUCAUUCCUCGUAUCCAGCGAAACCACUGAAAUUGCUGGGUGUCUGCCAUCUUUCAGUUAGUAGCCAAUGGCUGCCAACAUGAAGCAUCACAAAUCCUUGGAACUCAGUUAUAUAGCUGUCAGAUACAAAGGAAAAGGGAACAACUGAAAUCAUGCCUAAGCUGCACCUGCCUUACCAACCCCGUGAAGAGAAUCAGAGUCCACAGUUUUGGUCAAUUAUGAAAAAUAAGUAAAAGAAGAAACAAAAAAGUACUGUUUCUAAAAGAACUCCUGUGAUUGUUAAAAAUGUUAUGAUUAAACACUCAUUUUAAGGCUAUUAUUUCCUUCAUCAUUAAGCUAUGUGGGAGUGAAUCCAGUGAUCUUUGCAUUUGUGUACAGUAUGUAUACAGUAAAACAAAAUGCAUCAGAUUUCCUCUAAGUGGACAUUCAGAAAAAGAAAUGUCUGUUGUUUUUAUUUUUUCUUCCAACUUAAUGACAACAUAUGUGACUUCCCAUCUGUGAAUGUUGAAAUAAGGCAAGGAAAAAAGCUCUUUAUUCACUCGGUCUUGAAAAACUGAGUGAAUGUGUUCAAAUCAAAAGUAGCCAACAGUAAGUUCAAUGCAUGAUUCAUAAUCCAAUAACUUUAGUAAUUUAGACCCACCUUUGCACUAAUCUAAUCUUGUGCCACCAUGUUUCCAUUGAAAAUGACAUAGUUACAUGGCAUAAAGUUAGGGAAUGGUUUAGUAUUUAGAUGGGCAGUUAACGCGGGACCAGAAGUAGAACUUAAUCUCCCAGGUCUUCAUUUACUUCCUCUUAUUUGUAUCCUCUGGUGUGAAGAACACAGGAUUGUUCUGGUUGUAUUUGCUUUGUGAAUCAAACUAAUAAUUAAGAGCUUGGAUUGAUCAAUCAAUCAAUCAAACAAACAAACAAAAAAACCCACAAAACAAACACAACAGCAAGAAAGAAAAGCAAACAAAAAAACACCAAAGAUGUCAGAAAGAAGAUUCUCAUUUGCUUAACACUUCUAAGAGUAAAACAAGGAUUUUAUUACUCAAUAGCACAAAUUGUUAUACUGAAAAUUAUAAGGGAAAGGUCAGAAUUUCAAAUCAAAGUAGUGUGACUUGUUUUCACUGGUAUGUCUGAAUACUGUCUGAGGGAAUAUCAGACCCUGUGUGGAAGGAGUAUAGCAAAGUGAGUUGGUGUUCAUUUCUUUCAGAUUACACACCUCCUCAGAUGAGAAAGGGUUAAGCAUGAAUUAGGGAUGCAUGUGAAAAUAUAUGGGUGAAGUAGGAAAAAAAAAUGCUAUUCUAGCUUGAGUCACUCCAUCUGUUCCCUUAAUUCAGUGGCAGACCUUGACUGGACCCUGCUAGUCCCACACUUCACACAACUUCUCUCUGUAAAUUAAGUUGUUGGCCUGUGUUGCCGAGGGUUUAGGAAGGUGAGUGAUGACCUUGGUUUGAGUAUGUUUGUAUAGAAACAUGUCACUGCAGGAUGAUGUCUUUCCUCCAGGGACAUAGGGCCCAAUACUAACCAUUUGUUAAGAAAAUACCAAAGCUAAACAUAUCCAGCGUAUGAAAGGAUCCUACGCCCUUGCCAAGUGUAACUUUCACUCAUCUUUGAAACAUCAAUGUGCACUGUAUUUUAAAGGUUAUUUUUAGCACUUGUCUUUUAAACUGUUUCCCAUCUGAUGUUAACAUCUUGCAACUUUAAAACUAAUAUGAGUUAUUUUUAUUAUUGAAAUGGGAAAUCUCUUUAAUAUAUUGUAUAUAGCAAUAUGUUUAAUAUGUGCUUUAAAAAGGAGAUCUAAAAUAGUAUUUAUGCUCAAGAAUGAGGACAUCUAAUUCCAGAGAAGCCACAUCAUGCUUUCAAGUUUGAUGUUUCUUUAUAUAGCAGAGAUUAAAAAUAAAUUUUUAAGGAG
ensembl:lncRNA